ACAUUGGUGGUUUAGUGGUAGAAUUCCUGCCUUUCAUGCAGGAGACCUGGCCAAUGCA
rnacentral:tRNA from 1 species